GCUGAAAACCGGCUCUUAUGAAAGUCAGGGUGAGGCAAGACUUUAAGUUGAUCUUGCUGGCCCUCGCACUUACAUUUAAGCAAAAGUUCGGCUUUAGUUGAGCUCGCUGGUUUGUCUUGGAUUAAAAGAGUUGGAUAGGUGAUUAGCUCCAUAGUUAUGUGUGAAAAUGCUAUUUUGAGCACACAUGUAGCUCCAAAUUAUUUUCUUGU
rnacentral:misc_RNA from 1 species